CCUACGGGGGGCAGCAGUGAGGAAUAUUGGUCAAUGGACGAAAGUCUGAACCAGCCAAGUAGCGUGAAGGAUGACUGCCCUAUGGGUUGUAAACUUCUUUUAUAUGGGAAUAAAACAGGGUAUGCAUACCCUCUUGUAUGUACCAUAUGAAUAAGGAUCGGCUAACUCCGUGCCAGCAGCCGCGGUAAUACGGAGGAUCCGAGCGUUAUCCGGAUUUAUUGGGUUUAAAGGGUGCGUAGGUGGCUUGUUAAGUCAGUGGUGAAAGUUUGCGGCUCAACCGUAAAAUUGCAGUUGAAACUGGAAGACUUGAGUGAGGUAGAGGUAGGCGGAAUUCGUGGUGUAGCGGUGAAAUGCAUAGAUAUCACGAAGAACUCCGAUUGCGAAGGCAGCUCACUAGACUGCAACUGACACUGAUGCUCGAAAGUGUGGGGAUCAAACAGGAUUAGAUACCCUUGUAGUC
rnacentral:rRNA from 1 species